ACUGGGCGUAAAGAGUUGCGUAGGUGGUUUGUUAAGUAGGUAGUGAAAUCUGGCGGCUCAACCGUACAGGCUAUUACCUAAACUGGCAAACUCGAGAAUGGUAGAGGUCACUGGAAUUUCUAGUGUAGGAGUGAAAUCCGUAGAUAUUAGAAGGAACACCAAUGGCGUAGGCAGGUGACUGGACCAUUUCUGACACUGAGGCACGAAAGCGUGGGGAGCGAACCGGAUUAGAUACCCGGGUAGUCCACGCUGUAAACGAUGGAUACUGGCUGUUUGGGGUAUCGACCCCCCAAGUAGCGAAGCUAACGCGUUAAGUAUCCCGCCUGUGGAGUACGGUCGCAAGACUAAAA
rnacentral:rRNA from 1 species